rnacentral:rRNA from 1 species
GUGGGGAAUCUUGCGCAAUGGGCGAAAGCCUGACGCAGCGACGCCGCGUGGGGGAUGAAGGCCUUCGGGUUGUAAACCUCUUUUGGCAGGGACGAAGCGAUUGUGACGGUACCUGCAGAAUAAGCUCCGGCUAACUACGUGCCAGCAGCCGCGGUAAGACGUAGGGAGCGAGCGUUGUCCGGAUUCAUUGGGCGUAAAGAGCGCGCAGGCGGUUUGGUAAGUCGGAUGUGAAAUCCCGGAGCUCAACUCCGGACCUGCAUCCGAUACUGCCCGACUAGAGGUAGGUAGGGGAGAUCGGAAUUCCUGGUGUAGCGGUGAAAUGCGCAGAUAUCAGGAGGAACACCGGUGGCGAAGGCGGAUCUCUGGGCCUUACCUGACGCUCAGGCGCGAAAGCUAGGGGAGCGAACAGGAUUAGAUACCCGAGUAGUCC